rnacentral:miRNA from 1 species
AUUAGGUUGGUGCAAAAGUAAUUGCAGUUUUUGCAAUUACUUUUAAUGGCAAAAACCACAAUUACUUUUGCAC